AAAAUGGGCAUGUUAUGAACCUUUCAGUACUUUUUUUCUUUCAACUCAUCAACUGUCAGGCAUUAAAUCGCUCCUCCAGUUUUAAGUGUUUGACAGAAUUUUCUAAAUUUUGGUUGGCCCCAGCUUGCUGGAAGGAACUCUCACCAUAUUAUUGAGGCAACCUUCAAAGAAUUUGCAAGGGCUCUUCGACAAGCACUAGAAUAUGACCCACGUCGCCUUGGGAGCAUUCCAAGCUCGAAAGGUGUCCUGUCACUUUCUUGAUGCUUCCUGUUCCCACAUAUAAUUAAGGAGAUUUAGAUGGAUUAUUUCUGAUAAGUUUCCAAAUUAGCUUCGGUCAAAGCUCCGCCAUGUUAUGACAAGUCAAGUUUGGACGAGAUCUGCUGGAGUCUUGGUGAUUCCAGAGAUGUCAAGUUAAAAAUAUAGAUUUGAGAGUUGCUAGUGGCUAAUAGGGCUAAAUACUAAUGCAGUGUUGUAUAUGUAACAUUAUUAUUGAGCAAUAAGUUAUUGGUGAUUUGAUGUCACGGAUGGUUUUUGUUCCCUCUUGUAUGAAAAAGUUUCCUUUAGCUA